rnacentral:rRNA from 1 species
CCUACGGGAGGCAGCAGUGGGGAAUAUUGCACAAUGGGCGCAAGCCUGAUGCAGCCAUGCCGCGUGUGUGAAGAAGGCCUUCGGGUUGUAAAGCACUUUCAGCGGGGAGGAAGGCGGUGAGGUUAAUAACCUCAUCGAUUGACGUUACCCGCAGAAGAGGCACCGGCUAACUCCGUGCCAGCAGCCGCGGUAAUACGGAGGGUGCAAGCGUUAAUCGGAAUUACUGGGCGUAAAGCGCACGCAGGCGGUCUGUCAAGUCGGAUGUGAAAUCCCCGGGCUCAACCUGGGAACUGCAUUCGAAACUGGCAGGCUAGAGUCUUGUAGAGGGGGGUAGAAUUCCAGGUGUAGCGGUGAAAUGCGUAGAGAUCUGGAGGAAUACCGGUGGCGAAGGCGGCCCCCUGGACAAAGACUGACGCUCAGGUGCGAAAGCGUGGGGAGCAAACAGGAUUAGAUACCCCUGUAGUC